CAGCCGCCGCGGGAAUACGAAGGGGGCUAGCGUUGCUCGGAAUUACUGGGCGUAAAGGGCGCGUAGGCGGACAUUUAAGUUAGGGGUGAAAUCCCAGAGCUCAACUCUGGAACUGCCUUUGAUACUGGGUGUCUUGAGUGUGAGAGAGGUAUGUGGAACUCCGAGUGUAGAGGUGAAAUUCGUAGAUAUUCGGAAGAACACCAGUGGCGAAGGCGACAUACUGGCUCAUUACUGACGCUGAGGCGCGAAAGCGUGGGGAGCAAACAGGAUUAGAUACCCCCGUAGUCCCUGUCUCUUAUAC
rnacentral:rRNA from 1 species